rnacentral:rRNA from 1 species
GGGAGGCAGCAGUAGGGAAUCUUCCACAAUGGACGAAAGUCUGAUGGAGCAACGCCGCGUGAGUGAAGAAGGGUUUCGGCUCGUAAAGCUCUGUUGGUAGUGAAGAAAGAUAGAGGUAGUAACUGGCCUUUAUUUGACGGUAAUUACUUAGAAAGUCACGGCUAACUACGUGCCAGCAGCCGCGGUAAUACGUAGGUGGCAAGCGUUGUCCGGAUUUAUUGGGCGUAAAGCGAGUGCAGGCGGUUCAAUAAGUCUGAUGUGAAAGCCUUCGGCUCAACCGGAGAAUUGCAUCAGAAACUGUUGAACUUGAGUGCAGAAGAGGAGAGUGGAACUCCAUGUGUAGCGGUGGAAUGCGUAGAUAUAUGGAAGAACACCAGUGGCGAAGGCGGCUCUCUGGUCUGCAACUGACGCUGAGGCUCGAAAGCAUGGGUAGCGAACAGGAUUAGAUACCCUGGUAGUCCAUGCCGUAAA